rnacentral:rRNA from 1 species
UACAGAGGGUGCGAGCGUUGUCCGGAAUCACUGGGCGUAAAGGGCGCGUAGGCGGCCCGAUAAGUAGGGGGUGAAAUCUUGCGGCUCAACCGCAAGGCUGCCUUCUAAACUGUCGGGCUGGAGCACGGUAGAGGCAGAUGGAAUUCCCGGUGUAGCGGUGGAAUGCGUAGAGAUCGGGAAGAACACCAGUGGCGAAGGCGGUCUGCUGGGCCGAUACUGACGCUGAGGAGCGAAAGCGUGGGGAGCGAACAGG